rnacentral:ncRNA from 1 species
AAUUCUAAUUUAUUUUAGGAUAACCCUUUGAACUUAAGCAUAUCAGUAAAAGGAGGAAAAGAAACUAACAAGGAUUUCUUUAGUAGUGGCGAAUGAACAAGAAAGAACUCAUUAUGUAAUCUAUAUUCAUUAUAGAGAUGUUAAAAGUUAUUGUUGUCAUUCAAAUCAUAGAUACAUUAAAUUGUAGUAAAUGAUGACGAUAAAUAAACAAUGUAGAGUACGAUUGCUUGGUAGUGCAAUUGGAAUAUAGAUAGAAUAAAUAUUUAAAGUUAAAUAUAAUGGGGAUCCUCUAGAUCGACUGCAGCA